rnacentral:lncRNA from 1 species
UUAUUAUUUAUUUAUUUAUAGUCUAUUUAUUUAUUUAUUUUACGUCUUAGUUACUUUCUUUUUUUUUUUAUCUUUUGUACCAAAUUUUAUAACAUCUACAGACACUCAGAAAAAAAGGUAAUAGAGUUAUAUACUUGUACAAUUGGUGGAGUCGUUUGUGAAUAAGAUGUCACACCAUAAACACUUGGACAUGUCUGUCCUUGAUAAUAUAUGGUUGCUUGAGAUUGUGCAGGAGAGUACUGCUGCUGUACAUUGACAGAUUGUUGGUUUGAAUCCCAAACACUCUAAUUCUGUCCCUGGACUGGGCCUGGGGUUGGUACUGGCAUGACAGCAACGCUGGAGUCUUGGUGUACCACAGCAUCACUCUGGCCCACAUACUGUGAACUGGACACUUCCACAGGGGCUGCCACAUGUGACACCACUGGCACUGGUGGAGGGGUAGCAAGGAAUUUGGUGGAAUGUCCCACCAAGGGCUGAGCAUGAUCGUAAGGAGCAGGAGAACACACAGAGUCCAUGCUGGGAGUGGGCAGCAGCACCUUUCCAGCAUUUGGGUUGCUAGGGUCCAUGUAGGCCUGCAUGGGAUAGCCUGGUGGGUAGCCAGCAAAGGGGUGAUGGGGGGCAUUAUAGCCAAGAGAGUCAUAGGGCAGUGGUGAUGUAAUUCCCAGAUUCUGCAGCUGCUGCUGCUGUUUCUGAACCUCCCGCUGAGCCACUUCUUGCUCAAACAACUUUCGGCGUUCCUCUGAAGAGAGUUUAUUGCGGUCUUUAAUUCGUACCUUCUUUUUAGAAGUUGGUGUGUCAUACCUGUGCUCUCCUUUUCAGUUUGACUUUUCUUUGGAAUUCGAUACACCUCCUUUAGGUCUUUCCAACUGUCCAGUAGCUUGGUGGCCAAAUCACUUAUAUCCACUGUUUUAUCUGGCUGUUCUUGGCUCUUCUCACUCUCCACAUCAGACAUGCCCUCCUCUUCAUCCUGGGAUGGUGUUUCCUCAGCAAUGGGUUCUUCCAACUUGGUGCCACUGCUCUCUUUGGGCUCCAUCUCAGUGUCACUUCUGGUUCCAAUGUGGGAAGUUUACUGGCCUCCACAGUGGUUUCACUCUCAACUUUGAAUUCAGGCAGCUGUUCAGGGAAUGGCUGUCGUGACUGCAUCUCUUCCUCUUCCUCUACAGUGACAUUUUCUAACUGAUCAAGGUCCUCUUUGCCAUCCUUGCCCUCCAGCUCACUGACUGCAUCAGAGACUGCACUAUCCAUGCUAUUUUCACUUAUAAUUUUAAGUCUGCGAAUCACAAGCUUUUUGGGAGUGUCUGUGUCAGCUUCUGUGCUCAGCUUGGUAGAAGGAUCAGGUGUAUUGAGGGGGGUGUGUGCACGAGAUGUAUUUUCACUGGAAUACCCAUCUCCUUCACUCAACUGGGGAGCAGUGGUCUUGGUCUGAGACCAACGCUGAAUAAUUGGAAGUACUUUGCUUUCCUCCAACGUAUUUUUAGUAGGAAUGGGUAAGUGCUCCAAGGUCUUUAUGAUCUCUUCCUGAAGCUUCUGGUUACUUUCCCGGCCAUCACCAAGCUCUGCCAUCCAGAUCCAUAACAAUGUCUUAGUUACUUUCUCAUUGCUGGGACAAAAUACCUGACAACCACAAGUUAAUGGAGGAAAGAUUUAUUUUUUUUUUCAAUAAAUUCUUUUAUUGUUACUUUUU